AUUGAACGCUGGCGGCAGGCCUAAUACAUGCAAGUCGAGCGAGCGGCGGAGGGGUGAGCAAUGUAUGGGGACUGCCCGAUAGAGGGGGAUAACUACUGGAAAUGGUAGCUAAUACCGCAUACUAUCGGAUAACUCAUAUGGGAUUAGCUCGUGGGUGAGGUAAUGGCUCACCUAGGCGACGACCCAUAGCUGGUCUGAGAGGAUGAUCAGCCACACUGGAACUGAGACAGGGCCCGAACUCCAACGGAGGAGGAGGAGGGGAAUAUUGCACAAUGGGCGAAAGCCUGAUGCAGCCAGGCCGCGUGGAUGAGAAAGGCCCUAGAGUGGUAAGGUACUUUGUGUAGGGAGGCGUUACCGACAGAAGAAGCACCGGCUAACUCCGUGCCAGCCGCCGCGGUAAUUC
rnacentral:rRNA from 1 species